rnacentral:rRNA from 1 species
CCUUGCCAGCCCGCUCAGAACUCAAAGGAAUUGACGGGGCCCGCACAAGCGGAGGAGCAUGUGGUUUAAUUCGAUGAUACGCGAGGAACCUUACCUGGGCUCGAACGUAAGAUGACUGUAGGUGAAAGCUUACAUCUCUUCGGAGCAUUUUACGAGGUGCUGCAUGGUUGUCGUCAGCUCGUGCCGUGAGGUGUCGGGUUAAGUCCCAUAACGAGCGCAACCCCUACCUUUAGUUGCCAUCAGGUAAUGCUGGGGACUCUAAAGGAACUGCCUACGCAAGUAGUGAGGAAGGCGGGGAUGACGUCAAAUCAGCACGGCCCUUACGUCCAGGGCUACACACGUGCUACAAUGGCCGAUACAGAGGGCAGCUACCUGGUGACAGGAUGCAAAUCUCCAAAGUCGGUCUCAGUUCGGAUCGGAGUCUGCAACCCGACUCCGUGAAGUUGGAUUCGCUAGUAAUCGCGCAUCAGCCAUGGCGCGGUGAAUACGUUCCCGGGCCUU